GACGAACGCUGGCGGCGUGCCUAAUACAUGCAAGUAGAACGCUGAAGGAGGAGCUUGCUUCUCUGGAUGAGUUGCGAACGGGUGAGUAACGCGUAGGUAACCUGCCUGGUAGCGGGGGAUAACUAUUGGAAACGAUAGCUAAUACCGCAUAAUAUUGACUAUUGCAUGAUAGUCAGUUGAAAGGUGCAACUGCACCACUACCAGAUGGACCUGCGUUGUAUUAGCUAGUUGGUGGGGUAACGGUUCACCAAGGCGACGAUACAUAGCCGACCUGAGAGGGUGAUCGGCCACACUGGGACUGAGACACGGCCCAGACUCCUACGGGAGGCAGCAGUAGGGAAUCUUCGGCAAUGGACGGAAGGCUGACCGAGCAACGCCGCGUGAGUGAAGAAGGGUUUCGGAUCGUAAAGCUCUGUUGUAAGAGAAGAACGAGUGUGAGAGUGGAAAGCUCACACUGUGACGGUAUCUUACCAGAAAGGGACGGCUAACUACGUG
rnacentral:rRNA from 1 species